rnacentral:lncRNA from 1 species
GACGGUGGCCGGAGCUUUCUCCUCCGAAGAAUGCUUUCCGAGAUUCGGUUGGAUUAUAGAUAGGUUAAACGGUCAUAAUGGAAGAGUCGAGAAAGUUUUCCGUCAAUUAGAUGCGUUGUUCCAACAGGUGAUCGAUGAGCAUCUUAAACCUGGAAGGACACAGGAUCACGAAGACAUUAUUGACGUCAUGCUUAAAAUAGAAAAGGAGCAAAUUGAUGAACAUGGUCAUGCUUGGCUCACCAAAAAUCAUAUCAAGGCAGUACUUUUGGUAAGUUAUUUGCCAAAUACCAUCAUUUUUAAUUAUGUUUUUUUAAUAGAAAUAAACAUGCACUAAUAAUGAAAGAGAGGACAAAGACCAAAUCCAAAGCAAAUACAUCUACCCUAUUCAUCACAUCCUAACAUAUUUUACUUUAAUAGGAAAGACUAAACCUAAUAUUAUGGUUUAAAACCAAAGACAUUUUUCCAAUUCGCAUGACAUAAGACUAUCUAUGAACUUCCUUCUUAGCUUUCCACCUAAUCCAACUACACAAAUUAUGGAACUAAAACACAAGAGCUCGAUAGCUCGAAAUUAACUUACCCAAAGACAUCAUCACCAAUCCGCUUCAGAACGGAAAUUACUUGAAAACAGCCGCACUUAAUCAUGGUACCAUUUAUACGAAUAGCCUUCAACCAAAAAAGUGCGUGCUUCACGGACCGCAAAAGCUUCAACAAGCUUUGGCUCCAACCUGGCUCAAUAAUGGCCUGUAAGAGCCUUAAAUAAUAUACAAACAUGCUUUUAAAAAGCUCAAAGGAAAUUACUUAAAUUAAUAUCAUCCUAAAAAAUAUAAUUUUUAGGUAUCAAUAAAAUAAUGACAUAUCAUCAAAAUUUAAAGAUAUACACUUAAUACUAUACACUUAUCUAUAUAUGGUAUUUUUUUCUAAUUUAAUUGAACUUUAAUUAAAUUACAAAAAAUUAAUUAAAAUUUUGAAAAAAAAAACAAAUAUAUUGAAACUAUAACCAAAAUAACCCAUGAGAAAAAAAUUGAAAAACCCGAAAUAAAUAAUUAAAAGUUAAAAGAAGAGAUAAAAGAAAAAAAUAGAAAAUAAAAAAAUUAUAGCCACUACUAAUUGUAUUAUUAAACUAUGUUAUUUGACUAAAAGGUUAAAAAAAAUUUAAAAUGAAAAAAAAAACCAUCGCCAAGAAAUUAAAUUU